UACGUAGGGUGCAAGCGUUGUCCGGAAUUAUUGGGCGUAAAGAGCUCGUAGGCGGUUUGUCGCGUCUGCUGUGAAAACCCGAGGCUCAACCUCGGGCCUGCAGUGGGUACGGGCAGACUAGAGUGCGGUAGGGGAGAUUGGAAUUCCUGGUGUAGCGGUGGAAUGCGCAGAUAUCAGGGAGGAACACCAAUGGCGAAGGCAGAUCUCUGGGCCGUAACUGACGCUGAGGAGCGAAAGCAUGGGAGCGAACAG
rnacentral:rRNA from 1 species